UUGGAGGGCAAGUCUGGUGCCAGCAGCCGCGGUAAUUCCAGCUCCAAUAGCGUAUAUUAAAGUUGUUGCAGUUAAAAAGCUCGUAGUUGAAUUUCGGGAUUAGUACGUUGGUCGUGCCUUCGGUACGUACUGGUGUUACUGAUUCCUACCUUCUGACGAACCAUCAUGUCAUUAAUUUGGUGUGGUGGGGAAUCAGGACUGUUACUUUGAAAAAAUUAGAGUGUUUAAAGCAGGCUCGCGCUUGAACACAUUAGCAUGGAAUAAUGAAAUAGGACGUUGACCCUAUUUUGUUGGUUUCUAGGAUUGACGUAAUGAUUAAUAGGGAUAGUUGGGGGCAUUAGUAUUCAAUUGUCAGAGGUGAAAUUCUUGGAUUUAUUGAAGACUAACUACUGCGAAAGCAUUUGCCAAGGAUGUUUUCAUUAAUCAAGAACGAAAGUUAGGGGAUCGAAGACGAUCAGAUACCGUCGUAGUCUUAACCAUAAACUAUGCCGACUAGGGAUCGGAUGAUGUUAUUUUUAACGACUCAUUCGGCGCCUUACGGGAAAC
rnacentral:rRNA from 1 species